rnacentral:misc_RNA from 1 species
UGGAAGUAAAAGUCGUAACAAGGUUUCCGUAGGUGAACCUGCGGAAGGAUCAUUAUCGAGUUUUGAACGGGUUGUCUGCUGGCUCGCAAGGGCAUGUGCACGCCUGUCUCAUCCACUCUCAACUUCUGUGCACUUUUCAUAGGCCGGCUUGUGGGUGCGUUCGCGCACUUGUAGGUGUCGGGCUUAUGCUUUACUACAAACGAUUCAGUUUUAGAAUGUCAUACUUUGCUAUAACGCAAUUUAUAUACAACUUUCAGCAACGGAUCUCUUGGCUCUCGCAUCGAUGAAGAACGCAGCGAAAUGCGAUAAGUAAUGUGAAUUGCAGAAUUCAGUGAAUCAUCGAAUCUUUGAACGCACCUUGCGCUCCUUGGUAUUCCGAGGAGCAUGCCUGUUUGAGUCUCAUGGAAUUCUCAACCUUCGGCUUUAUUGACGAAGGCUUGGACUUGGAGGUCGUGCCGGCUCUCGUAGUCGGCUCCUCUGAAAUGCAUUAGUGCGAACGUUACCAGCCGCUUCAGCGUGAUAAUUAUCUGCGUUGCUGUGGAGGGUAUUCUAGUGUUCGCGCUUCUAACCGUCUUCGGACAAAUUUCUGAACUCUGAGCUCAAAUCAGGUAGGACUACCCGCUGAACUUAAGCAUAUCAAUAAGCGGAGGAA